ACUAAAUAGAUACCCCGGUAGUCCACGCCCUAAACGAUGUCAACUGGUUGUUGGGGGAGGAAACUUCCUUAGUAACGAAAGCUAAACGCGUGAAAGUUGACCGCCUGGGGAGUACGGCCGCAAGGUUAAGACUCAAAGGAAUUGACGGGGACCCGCACAAGCGGUGGAUGAUGUGGAUUAAUUCGAUGCAACGCGAAGAACCUUACCUACCCUUGACAUGCCAGGGAGCCGGAUGAGAGUUCGGUGUGCCCGAAAGGGAGCCUGGACACAGGUGCUGCAUGGCUGUCGUCAGCUCGUGUCGUGAGAUGUUGGGUUAAGUCCCGCAACGAGCGCAACCCUUGUCACUAGUUGCUACGGAUAGGGCACUCUAGUGAGACUGCCGGUGACAAACCGGAGGAAGGUGGGGAUGACGUCAAGUCCUCAUGGCCCUUAUGGGUAGGGCCUCACACGUCAUACAAUGGCGCAUACAGAGGGUAGCCAACCCGCGAGGGGAGCCAAUCUCAGAAAGUGCGUCGUAGUCCGGAUUGUUCUCUGCAACUCGAGA
rnacentral:rRNA from 1 species